UGCGGAGGGAUCAUUACUGAGUUACCGCUCAUCAACCCUUUGUGAACAUACCUUAACUGUUGCUUCGGCGGGUAGGCGUCCCCUAAAAAGGACGUCUCCCGGCCCUCUCCCGUCCGCGGGUGGGGCGCCCGCCGGAGGAUAACCAAACUCUGAUUUAACGACGUUUCUUCUGAGUGACACAAGCAAAUAAUCAAAACUUUUAACAACGGAUCUCUUGGUUCUGGCAUCGAUGAAGAACGCAGCGAAAUGCGAUAAGUAAUGUGAAUUGCAGAAUUCAGUGAAUCAUCGAAUCUUUGAACGCACAUUGCGCCCGCCAGCAUUCUGGCGGGCAUGCCUGUUCGAGCGUCAUUUCAACCCUCAAGCUCUGCUUGGUGUUGGGGCUCUACGGUUGACGUAGGCCCUUAAAGGUAGUGGCGGACCCUCUCGGAGCCUCCUUUGCGUAGUAACAUUUCGUCUCGCAUUGGGAUUCGGAGGGACUCUAGCCGUAAAACCCCCAAUUUUACUAAGGUUGACCUCGGAUCAGGUAGGAAUACCCGCUGAACUUAAGCAUAUCAAU
rnacentral:rRNA from 1 species